rnacentral:rRNA from 1 species
AGUGAACGCUGGCGGUAGGCCUAACACAUGCAAGUCGAACGGCAGCACAGUAAGAGCUUGCUCUUACGGGUGGCGAGUGGCGGACGGGUGAGGAAUACAUCGGAAUCUACUUUUUCGUGGGGGAUAACGUAGGGAAACUUACGCUAAUACCGCAUACGACCUACGGGUGAAAGCAGGGGAUCUUCGGACCUUGCGCGAUUGAAUGAGCCGAUGUCGGAUUAGCUAGUUGGCGUGGUAAAGGCCCACCAAGGCGACGAUCCGUAGCUGGUCUGAGAGGAUGAUCAGCCACACUGGAACUGAGACACGGUCCAGACCCCUACGGGAGGCAGCAGUGGGGAAUAUUGGACAAUGGGCGCAAGCCUGAUCCAGCCAUACCGCGUGGGUGAAGAAGGCCUUCGGGUUGUAAAGCCCUUUUGUUGGGAAAGAAAAGCAGCAGGUUAAUACCCCGCUGUUCUGACGGUACCCAAAGAAUAAGCACCGGCUAACUUCGUG